GCACUAUUGGAGCGGCCGAUAUCGGAUUAGCUAGUUGGUGGGGUAACGGCUCACCGAGGCAACGAUCCGUAGCUGGUUUGAUAGGACGACCGUCCACUCUGGGACUGAGACACGGCCCAUACUCCUACGGGAGGCAGCACUGGGGAAUUUUGGACAAUGGGGGAAACCCUGAUCCAGCCAUCCCGCGUGUGCGAUGAAGGCCUUCAGGUUGUAAAGCACUUUUGGCAGGAAAGAAACGUCGCGGGUUAAUACCCCACGAAACUGACGGUACCUGCAAAAUAAGCACCGGCUAACUACGUGCCAGCAGCCGCGGUAAUACGUAGGGUGCAAGCGUUAAUCGGAAUUACUGCGCGUAUAGCGUGCGCAGGCGGUUCGGAAAGAAAGAUGUGAAAUCCCAGAGCUUAACUUUGGAACUGCAUUUUUAACUACCGGGCUAUAGUGUGUCAGAGGGAGGUGGAAAUUCCGCGUGUAACACUGAAAUGCGUAGAUAUGCCGAGGAACACCUAUGGCGAAAGCA
rnacentral:rRNA from 1 species